rnacentral:rRNA from 1 species
UACGGGAGGCAGCAGUGGGGAAUAUUGCACAAUGGGGGAAACCCUGAUGCAGCGACGCCGCGUGAAGGAUGAAGGAUUUCGGUUCGUAAACUUCUAUCAGCAGGGAAGAAAAUGACUGUACCUGAGUAAGAAGCCCCGGCUAACUACGUGCCAGCAGCCGCGGUAAUACGUAGGGGGCAAGCGUUAUCCGGAAUUACUGGGUGUAAAGGGUGCGUAGGCGGUAAAGUAAGUUAGGUGUGAAAGCCCGGGGCUCAACCUCGGGACUGCACUUAAAACUGCUUUACUAGAAUACAGGAGAGGUAAGUGGAAUUCCUAGUGUAGCGGUGAAAUGCGUAGAUAUUAGGAGGAACACCAGUGGCGAAGGCGACUUACUGGACUGUGAUUGACGSUGAGGCACGAAAGCGUGGGGAGCGAACAGGAUUAGAUACCCUGGUAGUCCACYCMGUARACGAUGAAUGCUAGGUGUCGGGGGUCGAAUCCUCGGUGCCGCAGCUAACGCAUAA